rnacentral:rRNA from 1 species
UACGUAGGGUGCAAGCGUUAAUCGGAAUUACUGGGCGUAAAGCGUGCGCAGGCGGUUCUGUAAGUCUGUCCUGAAAGCCCCGGGCUCAACCUGGGAAUUGCGAUGGAGACUGCAAGGCUUGAAUCUGGCAGAGGGGGGUAGAAUUCCACGUGUAGCAGUGAAAUGCGUAGAGAUGUGGAGGAACACCGAUGGCGAAGGCAGCCCCCUGGGUCAAGAUUGACGCUCAUGCACGAAAGCGUGGGGAGCAAACAGG